CAAUGAGCAGACCUAGGCAUAAAAACAAAAAAACUUUCUACUUUGUAAGAAGUGCUUUCGGCUUUAAUUGCCAUCCUCAGCUUAUAUACUUGAAAAUCGGUAGUGUUAAUACCUUUGAAACUAUUCAAAGAGAGCAGUUUUUUUUUGUUGAACUUAUUCUAUAUGCAAAAUAAAUUUGUUAUGGAUACAUGCUACCAGAUUUGGAAUACAUGGAAUGAAGUGAAUCCAAGCAUCUUUCAAAAAUGCUUUAUGAAAUUGCUGAGCUGAGUUGAGCUGUAUGAAAUGUGGAUUUCAUAAAUUAUAUGAGGAUGAGAAUGAAUUUUUGGUUACAGAAAAUGAUGUAGAGGAAAUGACAUAUCUUGUAAAGGAAUAUUCCAAGUAGCAAAAAAAAGCAAGUUUGUUUUCUUUGAUCAACAACAUCAUAAUGUUGAAAGAAAUUGAAGAUAGCUGAUAAACCGAAAUUUUUUUAAGCAUAGAUCCACUCAAAGAAUUUAUGGGGAUACCAGAAGAAGAAGAAAAUGCUGAAUCAACAAAUGAAUAUAUUAUUGUUGAUAAAUGUGCUGCCAAUUCAUCUAAAAUGAAAGAUGAAAUUCUUUCAAGCCUUACAAUUCUUAAAUUGUUUGCACUUAACAAUAACAGUAUGAUGCUUCACAAUAAAUUCUUGAUAUUGAACGUGAUGUACAAAAAAUUACUAUUGAGCACAAAUGCAG
rnacentral:lncRNA from 1 species